ensembl:processed_transcript
UUAAUCAAAACUUAAAAUUUUAUUUGUCAGGUAAAAUUGUAUUCUGCCAAUUACAUAAUAAAUCAUCAGGAAGCCAAUUCAGAGGUGAGACUGUAACAAUACAACAUCCAUUUAUCAAAGAUAAAUCAAAGAGUUAAGAGAUGCAUACCUGACCACAGAAAUACAUUGCAGCAUAAGUCUCAGAGAUGCUGCAAUGGGGUAGCAUCUUAUCAAGAUCUUAUAGAAGUCAAAAACCAAAUCAACAUAUACCAGUAAAAUAUUACUGUAAACUUAAGACCACUUUACCAAUCACACAGAGACAUUUAAAAUGAUACCAAACAUGAAUAUAGUGAUGCAAGAUACACCAUAUUAAAACCUUGAACAUUUUAUGUGAAAUGUGCUCUAAUCAGAAGGUAACAUAAGGGUCAAGAAGGGGGGUUUAAGUGGAAGGAGAAGGGGGACUUCUUCGCAUUACCCCCUGCUGUUGAGUAGCUCUGUUUCUCCAGCCUGUGAUUGCAUUGUCAACAGUGAUUUGAAUAGAACAGUGGAACAGUUGGUUUCUUCAUCACUUCUCAGAUUAGAAAAUCUAUUGGAACAUUGCAUCUUGUCUCAUGAAAUUCCAUAACAGUUCUUAUGGUCUGAUAUUUUGGAUCCUUACAG